rnacentral:rRNA from 1 species
GAAACUAACCAGGAUUGUCUCAGUAGCGGCGAGUGAAGAGACAUCAGCCCAGAUUUAGAAUUGUAAUCUCGGAAGCAAUUCCGAGCUCGACGAAUGGCAUAACUUACCUGGGACGGUAGGCCAGAGAAGGUAACAGCCCUGUGAUGCCAGGACCGAGCCGUGAAUGCGUGGAGAGUCGGGUUGUUUGGGAAUGCAGCCCUAAGCGGGAGAUAGACAUCUUCUAAGGCUAAAUACCGGUGGGAGACCGAUAGCGCACAAGUACUGCGAAGGAAAGAUGAAAAGAACUUUGGAAAGAGGGUUAAAAGACGUGAAAUCGUUGAAGUGGAACUGAUCGCAGCCCGUCCAGGCUAUGUCUCCGUGCUUAGCUCUCCGGACCCCCGGACUCAAAUCCCAAGUCUCACGAGUUAAGUACUGGCAUAGCACGUCCCCGCAUCAGUUCUAGUGCUGCUAAUCAAACGCUUCAAGUUAGGUUGCGUCUGGAUCAGCACUGGGACUGAGGAAGAUGCGAGGAAAGCGACUGUGAUCGACCCGUCUUGAAACACGGACCAAGGAGUCUAACUGUCGUGCGAGUGGGAGGGUGUCAAACCCGAACGCGUACCGAAAGGGAGUAUAAGGUGCAAGGACAACCGCAGCACCAGCGAGCGAGAGCUCAGCAAGAGCACGAGGGUUAGGACCCGAAAGAUGGUGAACUAUGCCCGAGUAGGGUGAAGCCAGGGGAAACUCUGGUGGAGGCUCGAAGCGUUACUGACGUGCAAAUCGUUCGUCGAACUUGGGUGUAGGGGCGAAAGACUAAUCGAACCAUCUAGUAGCUGGUUCCCUCUGAAAUUUCUCUCAGGAUAGCGGGGACAGAACAGUUUUAUCAGGUAAAGCGAAUGAUUAGAGUCCUCGGGGGCCAGAGGCCCUUGAACUAUUCUCAAACUUUCAAUUGGUAAGAGCCCAUGGGUUGCUUAACUGAACCCAGGGGAACAAUGUCUGUCCUCAGUGGGCCAUUUUUGGUAAGCAGAACUGGCGAUGAGGGAUGAACCUAACGUCGGGCUAAGGUGCCCAAUUCCACGCUCAUGAGACACCAAAAAAGGUGUUGGUUCAUUUAAACAGCAGGACGGUGGCCAUGGAA